rnacentral:rRNA from 1 species
UCCAGACUCCUACGGGAGGCAGCAGUGGGGAAUAUUGCACAAUGGGGGAAACCCUGAUGCAGCGACGCCGCGUGAGCGAAGAAGUAUUUCGGUAUGUAAAGCUCUAUCAGCAGGGAAGAAAAUGACGGUACCUGACUAAGAAGCUCCGGCUAAAUACGUGCCAGCAGCCGCGGUAAUACGUAUGGAGCAAGCGUUAUCCGGAUUUACUGGGUGUAAAGGGAGCGUAGGCGGAAGGUUAAGUCAGCGGUCAAAUGUCGGUGCUCAACACCGGCCUGCCGUUGAAACUGGUCUUCUUGAGUGAGCGAGAAGUAUGCGGAAUGCGUGGUGUAGCGGUGAAAUGCAUAGAUAUCACGCAGAACUCCGAUUGCGAAGGCAGCAUACCGGCGCUCAACUGACGCUGAGGCACGAAAGCGUGGGGAUCGAACAGGAUUAGAUACCCCUGUAA